AUCCCGAUCACCGAAGUUAAGCAAUGUCGAGACUGGUCAGUACAUAGAUGGGUGACCGCUUGGGAAUACCAGGUACUGUAA
rnacentral:rRNA from 1 species